rnacentral:siRNA from 1 species
CGGCGAAGUUUUUUUAAGCGA